GCGUGCGUGGUGUAGUGGCUAACGCUGCUGUUUUGGAAUCUCUGGGCGCGGGUUCGAACCCCAUCAUGGUCA